rnacentral:rRNA from 1 species
AGUGAACGCUGGCGGUAGGCCUAACACAUGCAAGUCGAACGGCAGCACAGUAAGAGCUUGCUCUUACGGGUGGCGAGUGGCGGACGGGUGAGGAAUACAUCGGAAUCUACUUUUUCGUGGGGGAUAACGUAGGGAAACUUACGCUAAUACCGCAUACGACCUACGGGUGAAAGCAGUGGAUCUUCGGACCUUGCGCGAUUGAAUGAGCCGAUGUCGGAUUAGCUAGUUGGCGGGGUAAAGGCCCACCAAGGCGACGAUCCGUAGCUGGUCUGAGAGGAUGAUCGGCCACACUGGAACUGAGACACGGUCCAGACUCCUACGGGAGGCAGCAGUGGGGAAUAUUGGACAAUGGGCGCAAGCCUGAUCCAGCCAUACCGCGUGGGUGAAGAAGGCCUUCGGGUUGUAAAGCCCUUUUGUCGGGAAAGAAAAGCAGCAGGUUAAUACCCCGCUGUUCUGACGGUACCCAAAGAAUAAGCACCGGCUAACUUCGUG